rnacentral:lncRNA from 1 species
GUAUGUAUAUGUGUGUGUGUGUGUGUGUGUGUGUGUGUGUGUGUGUGUGUGUGUAUAUAGAAGGGCCUGAACCAUGCAUGUCCCAAAAUCUUAAUUGGUCACUCCAUUUAGCUAGGACAAAAAUCUUGUGUUUAUUUAAACAUAAGUGAGAGGUUUUAUGUUUAUUUUUGUCAAAAGAUGAAUUUGAACCAUAUUGUUAUUACUAAACUAUUAUGAUGCUUAGCUCACUCUUAAUCCACUCUUUUAGUGUAAAUAAUAUUACUUGUUAAAAAAAAUUAACAUAUUAUUUCGAAUUCAUUAAAACGGGCUAAUUGAAACUUAUAUUGGGAUGAACUUAACGAGAGGUAUUGCUGACGCGGAUUAAGUUAGCUACAAAGCUACAAAAGUUCAAAUUCAUUUUCUCAUUAAUUGCAGAAGUUUAUAAUAUAUAUCAUGUCAUCAAGAAGAAGUAACAAGAUAAAUGAUGAAUUCACACAAUUUUUUCUUUGGGAUGCUGCUUUUGUUUGAUAAUUUAAAGUAAAUUGUAGCAAUGAUCAAUCAACUAAAAAUCUAUUAGCAUUGGUUCAUCAACUCAUCAAAAUGUGUAGCUAUGGUCUUUUUCAUCAACUUAGUCAGAAUUUUAUCAAAAUGAGUUAUAUUGAAAUAACUAUUGCUACAGUUGGGGUCCCUCAAUUCAUCAAAACGUGUAGUUAUGAUCAUUUUCAUCAACUUUGUCAGAAUUUUGUCAAAAUGAUUUAUGUUGAAAGGACUAUUGCUACAAUUGAGUUAAAGUUGAGUGAACAUUGCUCCAGUUGGGUUAAAGUUGAGCAAUCAUUUCUUUAGUUAAAUUAAAGUUGAGGAACCAAUAAUAUAUGAUUUUUAGUUGAGGAAUCAUAGAUGCAUGUUUCGAUGAAUUGACGGAUCAAUGGUAAUGAAUUUUUAAUUAAAAUAUCAUUUUUCCAAUUAAAUUAAAGUUAAAAAAAUAUUACUACAAUUUACUCGAUAAUCUAAUCUAAUAACCUAAAGUAAAGAUAAGUGUUUGUUAGACUAAGGGCUGGUUUGGUAUUGCUGUGCUUUGAAAAAAAGCUGCUGUGAGAAUAAGCGGCUGUGCUGUGAGAAUAAGCGGCUGUGAAAUAAAGCCAGUAGAGUGUUUGGUAAACUUUUUUGUGAAAGUGCUUUUGAAAAAAAAAUCAGGAUGAUAGUGUGUCUUUUCAUUAAAGGAGCACUGUAGCUCCGUGUGCUUUGAAAAAACUGGCUUUUUUUCAAAGCAGUAAAUAGCAGCUUCAGCUUUUUCCUUGAUUUUCAGCUUAUUCUCACAGCAGCUUCCAAAAUAAGCCUUUUUUUCUCAGUUUACCAAACACAAAAAUGACCCUCAACUUUUUUUCACAGUGACUUUUUUUAAAAUCACCUCAAUCCCAAACGGGACCUAAAAGGAGUGUAAACAUAAGUUCCCGAAACAAAACGGAAGCAACUUUGAACGAAUAGCUAGGAAUGUAGCUAAUAAAAGACAAAAAUAAUGAAAAUGAAAUUUCGCAGAAUCCCACCGAGACUUGAAGACGUUGAAAAUAAUAUAAAAAAAUCCAAAUCUGUAGGGUCCAUGACAUUGUCAUAAUUGAAAGACUUUGAUGCUGGUUGGCACGUGAAAGUAACGUGAAAGCUACGAGAUUCGUCCAAAUUCCCAAUUUCCGAUCUGUGGAAUGCAGGUAGGAUAGUUGGUGGGUCCGGCUGCGGACGCCGUACACAGGUUCUGUAAUUGCACUUUCAAGUUGAUGACCUAAAUAUAUUUGACAAGUCUUACGUUCAGAUCUUCUCUCCUAAUUAAAUAAUUAGUAGUGAUAAUGACAAUUAAAGAAUGGUAGAAAAAGGUUCGCUUUUGUUUAAGCAUAUGCUGUUUUUUUUUUUUUAACAAAUGAUAUUAUUUAUACUAAUAAAAUAGAGGAAUGAGUUAAGUUUCAUAAUAUGCUACGAAUAAUGUGGUUCAAAUUCACUUUUGGCAAGAAUCGAACAUAUGAUCUCUCAUUUACCACCAGUAAAGAGGAUUACAAUUAGAUAGUAGUA